CUUGAUUUGCUUGGUGGGAGUGUUGCACUUGCUUGACAAGAGCUUUGGGCUGUGGGUGUAAUGAUUCUUUCUUUGCAUGCCAGUUUCUAUGUGUACAUCUGAUUACCUUUGCACAUGAAUGAUAAGUCUCCUGUGGGGGGUGGAUUGCAUGUGCAUGUAAUGAUUUGUGUUUUGAUAAAUGUGUCUGGUGUA
rnacentral:rRNA from 1 species